GACACAUGCGCACCCGACGCAGCCCAGGCACAUCUGCAGACUGACGUCAGUGUGCUCUGCCUCCGAGGAAAAGCUGCCAAAAUUUUCUCCUGCUGCAAUUCAAGUUGGCUGGGGGCCGGUAGUGAGAUCUAGGGCUACUUCAACAAAACUUUGCUGCCCUUCCUGCUCCUCUUGUCUUCUUUUCUCCUGAUACCUUUUGAUGCUCUGCACAUGUUAUUUGCAUAGCAAAGGCACUAAGCUUUCCAGGAAGAGAGGGCACCACUUCCACCCCCAAUAAGUCUUUUUUCCCGUCUUUUCUUUCUUUUCCUUUCCUUUUUUGGGGGGUGGGGAGGGAGAGAAAGGGGGUUUGCAAAGGCAGCAUCUCAGAGUGAUAGCCUAGAUGUAUUGAAGGCAUCUCUUAUUCUGCCAAAUCGGAAAGUCAGUUCUCUAAAGCCCGGGUUAGCCAGACCAUAGGGUUUUAUUCUGGCUGCAGAAUAACUGGCUGGUGUGGCUUUGCAAAGGGGGGCAAAAAAUAAAAAAAUUAAAAAAAUUAAAAAAAGUUAGAGAGGAGAGGGAGUACGUGAGUCGUCCAGUGCAAUCUCUAUUGUCUGAAACUUACUUUUUAUCAGAAUUUGAAGAUGAAAACGGUUAAAAAAUGGCCAUACUUUAGUAACUAAUCAGCCUAAUGCUUUGCUUAUGAAAACUUUUACCAUCAUUAUUUUUUCAUUUUGGAUUGAGAAAAUGAAUCCAGAUAUAGAAGAAAGUGCAGGAUGUUGGAUAAAAGUGGCUCUUAAACAGUGGAACAUCCAAUAACUAAUUUGCAAGAAGUUUUAAAGAAAUAAAAUUGUUAUGCUUCGAUUUUGGUAUGGUAUUGACUCUUUAGCACAUAGGUAGCCCUCAAAAAAAUCAUCCAGUUUUCUAAAUUAUGGAAAUUUUGUGGAAGACGUUGACCUGGAUUUUGAGCCUCAUCAUGGCUUCAUCGGAAUUUCAUAGUGACCACAGGCUUUCAUACAGUUCUCAAGAGGAAUUCCUGACUUAUCUUGAACACUACCAGCUAACUAUUCCAAUAAGGGUUGAUCAAAAUGGAGCAUUUCUCAGCUUUACUGUGAAAAAUGAUAAACACUCAAGGAGAAGACGGAGUAUGGACCCUAUUGAUCCACAGCAGGCAGUAUCUAAGUUAUUUUUUAAACUUUCAGCCUAUGGCAAGCACUUUCAUCUAAACUUGACUCUCAACACAGAUUUUGUGUCCAAACAUUUUACAGUAGAAUAUUGGGGGAAAGAUGGACCCCAGUGGAAACAUGAUUUUUUAGACAACUGUCAUUACACAGGAUAUUUGCAAGAUCAACGUAGCACAACUAAAGUGGCUUUAAGCAACUGUGUUGGGUUGCAUGGUGUUAUUGCUACAGAAGAUGAAGAAUAUUUUAUUGAACCUUUAAAGAAUACCACAGAGGAUUCCAAGCAUUUUAGUUAUGAAAAUGGCCACCCUCAUGUUAUUUACAAAAAGUCUGCCCUUCAACAACGACAUCUGUAUGAUCACUCUCAUUGUGGGGUUUCGGAUUUCACAAGAAGUGGCAAACCUUGGUGGCUGAAUGACACAUCCACUGUUUCCUAUUCACUACCAAUUAACAACACACAUAUCCACCACAGACAGAAGAGAUCAGUGAGCAUUGAACGGUUUGUGGAGACAUUGGUAGUGGCAGACAAAAUGAUGGUGGGCUACCAUGGCCGCAAAGACAUUGAACAUUACAUUUUGAGUGUGAUGAAUAUUGUUGCCAAACUUUACCGUGAUUCCAGCCUAGGAAACGUUGUGAAUAUUAUAGUGGCCCGCUUAAUUGUUCUCACAGAAGAUCAGCCAAACUUGGAGAUAAACCACCAUGCAGACAAGUCCCUCGAUAGCUUCUGUAAAUGGCAGAAAUCCAUUCUCUCCCACCAAAGUGAUGGAAACACCAUUCCAGAAAAUGGGAUUGCCCACCACGAUAAUGCAGUUCUUAUUACUAGAUAUGAUAUCUGCACUUAUAAAAAUAAGCCCUGUGGAACACUGGGCUUGGCCUCUGUGGCUGGAAUGUGUGAGCCUGAAAGGAGCUGCAGCAUUAAUGAAGACAUUGGCCUGGGUUCAGCUUUUACCAUUGCACAUGAGAUUGGUCACAAUUUUGGUAUGAACCAUGAUGGAAUUGGAAAUUCUUGUGGGACGAAAGGUCAUGAAGCAGCAAAACUUAUGGCAGCUCACAUUACUGCGAAUACCAAUCCUUUUUCCUGGUCUGCGUGCAGUCGAGACUACAUCACCAGCUUUCUAGAUUCAGGCCGUGGUACUUGCCUUGAUAAUGAGCCUCCCAAGCGUGACUUUCUUUAUCCAGCUGUGGCCCCAGGUCAGGUGUAUGAUGCUGAUGAGCAAUGUCGUUUCCAGUAUGGAGCAACCUCCCGCCAAUGUAAAUAUGGGGAAGUGUGUAGAGAGCUCUGGUGUCUCAGCAAAAGCAACCGCUGUGUCACCAACAGUAUUCCAGCAGCUGAGGGGACACUGUGUCAAACUGGGAAUAUUGAAAAAGGGUGGUGUUAUCAGGGAGAUUGUGUUCCUUUUGGCACUUGGCCCCAGAGCAUAGAUGGGGGCUGGGGUCCCUGGUCACUAUGGGGAGAGUGCAGCAGGACCUGCGGGGGAGGCGUCUCCUCAUCCCUAAGACACUGUGACAGUCCAGCACCUUCAGGAGGUGGAAAAUAUUGCCUUGGGGAAAGGAAACGGUAUCGCUCCUGUAACACAGAUCCAUGCCCUUUGGGUUCCCGAGAUUUUCGAGAGAAACAGUGUGCAGACUUUGACAAUAUGCCUUUCCGAGGAAAGUAUUAUAACUGGAAACCCUAUACUGGAGGUGGGGUAAAACCUUGUGCAUUAAACUGCUUGGCUGAAGGUUAUAAUUUCUACACUGAACGUGCUCCUGCGGUGAUCGAUGGGACCCAGUGCAAUGCGGAUUCACUGGAUAUCUGCAUCAAUGGAGAAUGCAAGCACGUAGGCUGUGAUAAUAUUUUGGGAUCUGAUGCUAGGGAAGAUAGAUGUCGAGUCUGUGGAGGGGACGGAAGCACAUGUGAUGCCAUUGAAGGGUUCUUCAAUGAUUCACUGCCCAGGGGAGGCUACAUGGAAGUGGUGCAGAUACCAAGAGGCUCUGUUCACAUUGAAGUCAGAGAAGUUGCCAUGUCAAAGAACUAUAUUGCUUUAAAAUCUGAAGGAGAUGAUUACUAUAUUAAUGGUGCCUGGACUAUUGACUGGCCUAGGAAAUUUGAUGUCGCUGGGACAGCUUUUCAUUACAAGAGACCAACUGAUGAACCAGAAUCCUUGGAAGCUCUAGGUCCUACCUCAGAAAAUCUCAUCGUCAUGGUUCUGCUUCAAGAACAGAAUUUGGGAAUUAGGUAUAAGUUCAAUGUUCCCAUCACUCGAACUGGCAGUGGAGAUAAUGAAGUUGGCUUUACAUGGAAUCAUCAGCCUUGGUCAGAAUGCUCAGCUACUUGUGCUGGAGUGGCCACCAAUGCAAUUCUUUACCUCUGGCUGGGAGAGCAGGACAGUUGGCUUCCUUCAAAGCCAACACCCUUGCUGCUGCAUGGACUGGUGUCCAAAGACAGGAGGUGGUCUGUAAAAGGUUGGAUGACAACUCCAUUGUCCAGAACAAUUACUGUGACCCUGACAGUAAGCCACCUGAAAAUCAAAGAGCCUGCAACACUGAGCCCUGCCCACCUGAGUGGUUCAUUGGGGAUUGGUUGGAGUGCAGCAAGACUUGUGAUGGUGGGAUGCGCACAAGGGCAGUGCUCUGCAUCAGGAAGAUCGGACCUUCUGAGGAGGAGACGCUGGACUACAGUGGUUGUUUAACACACCGGCCUGUCGAAAAAGAGCCCUGCAACAACCAGUCAUGUCCACCACAGUGGGUGGCUUUGGACUGGUCUGAGUGUACUCCAAAAUGUGGUCCAGGAUUCAAGCAUCGGAUUGUUCUGUGCAAGAGCAGUGACCUUUCUAAGACAUUCCCAGCUGCACAAUGUCCAGAGGAAAGCAAACCUCCUGUCCGCAUCCGCUGCAGUUUGGGCCGCUGCCCUCCUCCUCGCUGGGUCACAGGAGACUGGGGCCAGUGUUCUGCUCAGUGUGGCCUUGGACAGCAGAUGAGAACUGUGCAGUGUCUCUCCUACACCGGACAGGCAUCUAGUGACUGUCCAGAAACUGUUCGGCCUCCAUCAAUGCAGCAGUGUGAAAGCAAAUGUGACAGUACCCCCAUUUCUAAUACUGAAGAGUGCAAAGAUGUGAAUAAAGUGGCUUAUUGCCCACUGGUGCUGAAGUUCAAGUUCUGCAGUCGAGCAUACUUCAGACAGAUGUGUUGUAAGACCUGCCAAGGACACUGACCCACAGAAAGCCAGAGAGAGUGCCUUGUCAUUUCAUCAUGGAAAUGCAUCCAUCAAAGAGAGCCACCCAGAGGAAGAGGAUUGAUGUCCUUGCAAAUGCAUUACCCUGUGGAAAACGUAACCACUGGUCAGCCCUAGCUGACAAAAUUUCAAUAUUAUUUUAACUUCUGUGAAGUGGGAUUUAUUGAUCCAAAGUGCUGGACACGGUAUUAGGAGGGAAUGCCAGAUUGGAGAGAUCCAAACAACACAGGGAGACUUGCUUACUGUGGAGCGUUUGUGUUCUUUCGAGUAAAUCCAAUAGCCUGUUUACCUCCUUGGACCAUUAAGAUAAUUUUUAUUAUGGACUUAGCAAUGACACUGAAUCCAUUUGUAUUUAAAACUGUUUAAAAUGUAGCUGUUAUGACUUGGUCAACUAUGGAAGUGAAGAAGGUUCAGAAUUCUUAAGUCAUAGCUUAAAAAUAUUUACUGUACUUUAUCUCACUACAACAGCACCACAAUUUAAAUUAUAAAACGGGCUUUGAACUAUAAUUUAAGGAGCAAUUAUAAAUCAAAAGUAAUGAAAGUUUGUAUUAUUUUUCUUCAUUCCACUUAAUUUCCUUAGGAAUAAUCCCCUGGUUCUGAACACUGCUGUGAGCCAUAUAUAAAACUAUAUUAAACUGAACAAUAAUGAGGGGCAUAGUUUAAAGCAAUGCAUCAGUUACUGCAGCUGUGCAAGUCUAUAAACUCAGUGCUGAAAGACUGGCCAACUUGCCAUUGUGCAAGUAAAGCUGAGAUUUCCAUUAAAACUUUAAGAGAAAAACAUUUCAAUUUCAUGCAGAAACCAGACCUGGGGUAUGGUACAGACCAAAGGACCAGGCCCUUUGCUGCCACCACACAGGAUGCCUUAGUUCUUAUUUGAGUCCCCCCAACUCACUUGUGUUUACAUCCUCUCCAGCCACAGCACGGCUUCUGCCCUUUGGAUUGCUGCACGUGUGUUGAGCUUACUGAGAUGAUACCAUGCAAAAGAUAGACUGGCUCGGUAACCAGGCAGACCCUUUUGCAGUUUGUUGACAAUUACGAUGAGUUCCAGAUGUCCCUUCUUUGAUAUGGUAGAAGGACAUUUAUUUAUAUGAGAGCAAAUGUGUGUGUGUGUUUGCGGGCGCUUUUAAGUGUGUGGAUAGAUGAGUGUGCUUGCACAUAAUGUGCUAUUUCUGUGAGUUUUAAAGUAGGCAAGGGAUAAUAACCAAAGAAGAAAAUUUCAUGAAGACUAGACAUCAUAAAGCAUAAUUUUAAUAGUCACUCAACCAAGUAUUUUUUAUUUUUUAUGGAUACUCUGAAUGGCAAUUAAAUGUGAAACCCAGUUUCUUGGGCAAGUCAAAUUCUGGAAUCACAUCCACCUAAAUUAAAAUGACUAGCUCGUAUUUUCCCCAUCUUCAAGUUUCACAUCCUGCUCAUCAAAAGACUCGACAGCAAGACUUAGAAUGAAAAAGGGUACUUGUUUAUAUUAAUAUUUUUUACUUGAACACGUGUAGCUUGCAGCAGGUUCUUGAUGAAUGUGCUUUGUGUCCAAAAUGCCUCCCCAUUGUACACAGGUGUACACCAUGCAUGCACCAACACCUAAAACUCAAAACUAAAUGGCUAUUUUGUAAGGUUAAUACUUUCAGUUAAACAGCAUGUUUGACUUGAUUCCAUCAUGGUGCUCUUAAAUUACAUGUCAGUGCAUCACAUAUACCAUGAUCUAAUGCAGAUGACUAGCCUUUUUCCAAAAGGAAGACAGACCCUCAGACACCAAAAGCCAAUCUAAACUCCCAGGUUUGCUGUGGACAAUCAGCAUGGAAUGUUUUCUGCACUCUCAGUCAUGACCAUCUGUAUCUUGUUACCUGCUUUCUCUCUCAACACCACAGUUCUCAACCCUGAGCCUUCCAGAGAGAGCUAUUGAUGAUACAAGAGGAAUCACCAGGGCCCGGAUCUAAGAUGCCCUUAGAAGACCAGCCCAAGUGCCAUCAUAGCCAUUCAGUGAAGGGCAAACAGCCCAUGGGUAGUAUGGCCCGAGCACUGAAUUCCCUUGCGCCUUUUCAAAGAACAGUUAACUUGGUGCUAAUGUGCCCUGGUGAAAUAAAUAAAAGAUGGGCGGUUUCUGUGGCAUUUUAGGCAUAGGUUUGCAAUCCAGAUCUGAUUUUCUCCAACAUAAAUAUCAGCUCAUGUUCUUAUUUCAAAAAGAUUUCUUAUUACCGACUAAAAGCUAUUUUUUACCUCACCUGGAAACUACCAUUGUGAGGGCCAUCCCCCAGGCACUGCACAGCACCUUAGCUGAUGCUGGAAGAGGAGGGCAGUCAGUGUCACUUCCGGGAUGUGCCCCAGCACUGAGAACAAAAUGCAGGCAUCCCCCGGGGCAGCAUCAGAGUGCCUUUCUAGAGGGAGCCACGCACAGAAUGUAACAGGAUGAAACAGUUUCAAGUAAGCCUUGAAUUGAAACCUGAGUAGGUUAAAACAAUUCUAUUUCAUAGCACAUCACAAUACUGCUGCUACUCUGUAGCCACCCCCAUGGCUACAUGAUGCCCUAUUCCUAAAUAAUAACAAUGGCAUUGUCAGUGGAGGCUGGGCCACCAUGGCAGACCUUCCAAAAGUAGUGAGCUACAUAGACUACUUAGGGAACCCCAGGGAAACUGGUACCCUAUACCUGGGAGCAGUAUCUGCCACUGGGAUAAAGUCCUACUAAAAAAGGAACGGUAAAUGUACCCUAAUGAUUAAACCCUGUGAGAUACAUAUGAUUUCCAAAUAGUCCAUUUCAUUAGGAACUUUUUUGUUUGAAUGAAUGUCACAUAGGUAUCCUCAGUAACACAGAACGAAAUUACCUUUGUAUUAUUGUGAUUAGUUGUUGCUUAUUAUUUUAUACUCAGUAAUAAUGUGGUACACUGUUAAUUUUUUUGCUUUUGUAAAUUAUAUUCUAAUUUAUUGCCAUGUUUCCUAACACUUGUCCUACAUUCAUUCUCCUGCUUGUAAUGAAAAUGAAAAAAUCAUUGUAACACUUGAUGGAGUGAAAUUCCACGCCAGGCACAGAAUUUUUUUGACAUAGAUAAUUUAGUAAAAUAAAAAUUCAGCUUAUAAUAAUGA